GACGAACGCUGGCGGCGUGCUUAACACAUGCAAGUCGAACGAAGAGCGAUGGAAGCUUGCUUCUAUCAAUCUUAGUGGCGAACGGGUGAGUAACGCGUAAUCAACCUGCCCUUCAGAGGGGGACAACAGUUGGAAACGACUGCUAAUACCGCAUACGAUCUGACCUCGGCAUCGAGGAUAGAUGAAAGGUGGCCUCUAUUUAUAAGCUAUCACUGAAGGAGGGGAUUGCGUCUGAUUAGCUAGUUGGAGGGGUAACGGCCCACCAAGGCGAUGAUCAGUAGCCGGUCUGAGAGGAUGAACGGCCACAUUGGGACUGAGACACGGCCCAGACUCCUACGGGAGGCAGCAGUGGGGAAUCUUCCGCAAUGGACGAAAGUCUGACGGAGCAACGCCGCGUGAGUGAGGACGGCCUUCGGGUUGUAAAGCUCUGUUAAUCGGGACGAAAGGCCUUCUUGCGAAUAGUUAGAAGGAUUGACGGUACCGGAAGAGAAAGCCACGGCUAACUACGUG
rnacentral:rRNA from 1 species